CCCGCACAAGCGGUGGAGUAUGUGGUUUAAUUCGAUGCAACGCGAAGAACCUUACCUGGCCUUGACAUCCCGGGAAUUUCCUGGAAACAGGAGAGUGCUUUCAUUAGAGAGAACCUGGAGACAGGUGCUGCAUGGCUGUCGUCAGCUCGUGUCGUGAGAUGUUGGGUUAAGUCCCGCAACGAGCGCAACCCUUGCCUUUAGUUGCCAGCAGUUCGGCUGGGCACUCUAAAGGGACUGCCGGUGUCAAACCGGAGGAAGGUGGGAUGACGUCAAGUCCUCAUGGCCUUUAUGGCCAGGGCUACACACGUACUACAAUGGCCGGUACAAAGGGCAGCGACAUUGCGAGAUGGAGCGAAUCCCGAAAAGCCGGUCUCAGUCCGGAUUGGAGGCUGCAACUCGCCUGCAUGAAGCCGGAAUCGCUAGUAAUCGCGGAUCAGCAUGCCGCGGUCGAAUACGUUCCCGGGCCUU
rnacentral:rRNA from 1 species